UACAGAGGUCUCAAGCGUUGUUCGGAUUCAUUGGGCGUAAAGGGUGCGUAGGCGGCUCGGUAAGUCGGGUGUGAAAUCUCGGAGCUUAACUCCGAAACUGCAUUCGAUACUGCCGUGCUUGAGGACUGGAGAGGAGACUGGAAUUUACGGUGUAGCGGUGAAAUGCGUAGAUAUCGUAAGGAAGACCAGUGGCGAAGGCGGGUCUCUGGACAGUACCUGACGCUGAGGCACGAAGGUCAGGGGAGCAAACGGG
rnacentral:rRNA from 1 species